rnacentral:rRNA from 1 species
GCUUGCUCCACCGGAAAAAGAGGAGUGGCGAACGGGUGAGUAACACGUGGGUAACCUGCCCAUCAGAAGGGGAUAACACUUGGAAACAGGUGCUAAUACCGUAUAACAAUCGAAACCGCAUGGUUUUGAUUUGAAAGGCGCUUUCGGGUGUCGCUGAUGGAUGGACCCGCGGUGCAUUAGCUAGUUGGUGAGGUAACGGCUCACCAAGGCCACGAUGCAUAGCCGACCUGAGAGGGUGAUCGGCCACAUUGGGACUGAGACACGGCCCAAACUCCUACGGGAGGCAGCAGUAGGGAAUCUUCGGCAAUGGACGAAAGUCUGACCGAGCAACGCCGCGUGAGUGAAGAAGGUUUUCGGAUCGUAAAACUCUGUUGUUAGAGAAGAACAAGGAUGAGAGUAACUGUUCAUCCCUUGACGGUAUCUAACCAGAAAGCCACGGCUAACUACGUGCCAGCAGCCGCGGUAAUACGUAGGUGGCAAGCGUUGUCCGGAUUUAUUGGGCGUAAAGCGAGCGCAGGCGGUUUCUUAAGUCUGAUGUGAAAGCCCCCGGCUCAACCGGGGAGGGUCAUUGGAAACUGGGAGACUUGAGUGCAGAAGAGGAGAGUGGAAUUCCAUGUGUAGCGGUGAAAUGCGUAGAUAUAUGGAGGAACACCAGUGGCGAAGGCGGCUCUCUGGUCUGUAACUGACGCUGAGGCUCGAAAGCGUGGGGAGCAAACAGGAUUAGAUACCCUGGUAGUCCACGCCGUAAACGAUGAGUGCUAAGUGUUGGAGGGUUUCCGCCCUUCAGUGCUGCAGCUAACGCAUUAAGCACUCCGCCUGGGGAGUACGACCGCAAGGUUGAAACUCAAAGGAAUUGACGGGGGCCCGCACAAGCGGUGGAGCAUGUGGUUUAAUUCGAAGCAACGCGAAGAACCUUACCAGGUCUUGACAUCCUUUGACCACUCUAGAGAUAGAGCUUCCCCUUCGGGGGCAAAGUGACAGGUGGUGCAUGGUUGUCGUCAGCUCCGGUCCGGGAAAAUGUUGGGUUAAGUCCCGCACCAACGCCAC